rnacentral:lncRNA from 1 species
GUUUGAAAUGUACUAUUGAUUUCCCAAUAAAAUGCAAAAGAAACUCAACAUAAUUAAAACAAGGGCAACUGUAAUACAUAGAACAACUAGAGUUUACCGGGGGAGAUGACAAAACUCCCAAUUUCUGCAGCAUGGCUUUACCCCCAGUGGUACCUCCUCCAGAAGGCAAACUGUAAUCAUGAAAGAGUUUGUGGCGAAUGUUCACUUUCAGGCUGGGUAACAGAUGGUGCUCGGCUACCUAUGACUAAUACAGAUAAUUUUUUCCUCUUCAUACUGUGAGUGCAACAUAUUCCAAGAUCCAGAAAGCCAUUAUGCCUAGGAAAGUUUCUGUGCUGCACAGAGAAGCAGUUCUUUUGCAGACCACUAAGCAGCUGGUGUGUAUUGAGUGCUCCGCUUUAAUCUCUUUUUCUGACUUACUGCCCUAGGUGUUUGAAUCUGGCAUGACUUGUCCCCCUCUCUUCUCUGAAAUCCAUCCGUGAUCACAGGGAAAGUCUAGAAAUCUGGAACACACAGAUUUUUAGCGAAGAUUUUCUGAUGGAAUGGAGAUUCCCCAGAAUUUUAAUGGGCCUAUCCUGUAAAAUCUGGUGCUGCCAGUCAGAAUAUGCUGAGAUGAAAAAAGCCCAUAGCAAGCUGAGCAUCCUCAGGAACCCUCCUGGUGGAGGAACCAGCACAGCUUCCCUUGAUGAUAAGCAACCUCAGCCUAAUGCCAAGUCUCUCACCAUCAUUCAUUAAUGUUACUGUUUAUUUGUGAAUUUCCCAGUGAGUAGAGGGAAAAUCAAAUUAACCUGUGUUCAGUAGUCCUCAAGCCACCCAGACUGUUGGGUUGCUCCAAUGGCAAGACUUUUUCUCCAUGUUCCAGUUCCAGUUUGGAAACUUUGAAGUGUUUGAGUGGUAAUGCUCUAUUAACAAAGAAAUGUAGAGGGAAUAAAUCAGCCUUGGAAAUAUUUCA